UGGGGAAUUUUGGACAAUGGGCGAAAGCCUGAUCCAGCAAUGCCGCGUGUGUGAAGAAGGCCUUCGGGUUGUAAAGCACUUUUGUCCGGAAAGAAAUCCUUGGCUCUAAUACAGUCGGGGGAUGACGGUACCGGAAGAAUAAGCACCGGCUAACUACGUGCCAGCAGCCGCGGUAAUACGUAGGGUGCAAGCGUUAAUCGGAAUUACUGGGCGUAAAGCGUGCGCAGGCGGUUUGCUAAGACCGAUGUGAAAUCCCCGGGCUCAACCUGGGAACUGCAUUGGUGACUGGCAGGCUAGAGUAUGGCAGAGGGGGGUAGAAUUCCACGUGUAGCAGUGAAAUGCGUAGAGAUGUGGAGGAAUACCGAUGGCGAAGGCAGCCCCCUGGGCCAAUACUGACGCUCAUGCACGAAAGCGUGGGGAGCAAACAGGAUUAGAUACCCUGGUAGUCCACGCCCUAAACGAUGUCAACUAGUUGUUGGGGAUUCAUUUCCUAGUAACGUAGCUAACGCGUGAAGUCGACCGCCUGGGGGAGUACGGUCGCAAGAUUAAAACUCAAAUGAAUUGACGGGGUCAUAGCUGUUU
rnacentral:rRNA from 1 species